UAUGUGAUCGUCUCUCGCAUAUCAAUAAGCGGAGGAAAAGAAACUAACAAGGAUUCCCCUAGUAACGGCGAGUGAAGCGGGAAGAGCUCAAAUUUGAAAUCUUAAAGGGUUUCCCUUUACGAAUUGUAGUUUAAAGAAGUGUUUUCUGUUGAGGUUUUGGUAAAAGUUCUUUGGAAUAGGACAUCAUAGAGGGUGAGAAUCCCGUAUUUGACCUUUACUUUCAACUUUGUGAUACACUUUCAAAGAGUCGGAUUGUUUGGGAAUGCAGUCCAAAAUGGGUGGUAAAUUUCAUCUAAAGCUAAAUAUUGGCGAGAGACCGAUAGCGAACAAGUACCGUGAGGGAAAGAUGAAAAGAACUUUGAAAAGAGAGUUAAACAGUACGUGAAAUUGUCAAAAGGGAAGCGUUUGACACCAGUGUUGUUUUUCUGAAAAUCAAUUAAAGAACUGUUUAUGCUAAGCUGUUUAGACUUUAUCAGCUAACUGUUUAGUUUUGAGCUUUUCUUUAAUGCACUUAUCAGUUAACAAGUCAACAUCAAUUUCUUUUGCUGUAAAAAAGCUUGAGGAAGGUGGCUUGAGAUUCGUCUUAAGUGUUUAUAGCCUCUUUGCCUAUGCAGUCGGAGAGAUUGAGGUCUGCAGCGUAGAUCCUUCGGGGCUAAAUGCAUUUGUGCUAAGUUAUAGCAUUUUAUAGACAACUUGUUGACUAUGAUUUGUCUUGUAGCUUACUCGCUUAUGUUAUUUUACCUACGCUUAGGAUGUUGAUAUGCAUGACUGAUAU
rnacentral:rRNA from 1 species